rnacentral:rRNA from 1 species
GACGAACCGAGCGAACGUUGUUCGGAAUUACUGGGCGUAAAGGGCGCGUAGGCGGCCUUCUAAGUCGAACGUGAAAUCCCCGGGCUCAACCCGGGAACUGCGUCCGAUACUGGAAGGCUUGAAUCCGGGAGAGGGAUGCGGAAUUCCAGGUGUAGCGGUGAAAUGCGUAGAUAUCUGGAGGAACACCGGUGGCGAAGGCGGUUCUCUGGGCCUGUACUGACGCUGAGACGCGAAAGCGUGGGGAGCGAACAGG